UACGGAGGAUGCGAGCGUUAUCCGGAUUUAUUGGGUUUAAAGGGUGCGUAGGCGGGAUGCCAAGUCAGCGGUCAAAUACGGGGGCUCAACCCCGGCCUGCCGUCGGAACUGGGUGCCUUGAGUGGGCGAGAAGUAUGCGGAAUGCGUGGUGUAGCGGUGAAAUGCAUAGAUAUCACGCAGAACCCCGAUUGCGAAGGCAGCCUGCCGGCCCCACACUGACGCUGAGGCACGAAAGCGUGGGUAUCGAACAGG
rnacentral:rRNA from 1 species